UCAAAUGCUAUGUUGAUGACAUGAUGGCGAAGUCCCAAACAGGAGAGGGGCAUCCGGUAGACCGGGGCAAAUUGUUGGACCGGUUGAGACAACUCAGACGGAGGUUGAGUCUGAAUCAGUGUGCUUGUGGAGUGCUGUCCGGUAAACUGUUGAGGCUUAUUGUGAGCGGAUAAGAGGAAUCGAGGCCGAUCCUGCUAAAAAAAAAAGAGAGAAGAAAAAGAGAAGGAAAAAAGAAAAAAAGA
rnacentral:lncRNA from 1 species